rnacentral:lncRNA from 1 species
AAAGGAUGAGUGCUAGUUCUGGAAAUUUGAAAUACUAUUGUUGCUGAGUCAUUUAUUAUAUAGCAGGAGGUGUGAAGUUUAGGCUGAUAAGGAACUAAGCAUGAUGCUUAGUCAUUUUCUUAAAGCGUGAGCUGGUUACUUGUUAGAUUAGUACAGGACACCAAGCAAGGAAGAAUAUGAAAACUUAUCAUUCUCUGCCCCUCACAUUUCGUCUGAAGGUAAGAAAGAAAAAAAAAUAGACCAGCCUUACCCAUUCCAUAUCUAUCUGUUCGAAAAGAAGGAGAGGUGAAGGAAAAUUUUGUUAACUCCCAAACCUUCACCAAACUCUUAGUUUCGGUUGGAACAAAUACAAGCAUUAGGAAAUUGUAAUUUCAAGCUAAUUUGAGGAGAAAUGAAAUGCAACAGUAGGAAGAAGCUGAACUAAAAUUAUCAAGCAAGCAAGAAUCCAAAUAGGAACAUCAAACAAGAGGUAAAUCAAUUUCUAUUUGUCAAUUCGUGGGAAUUAGAGUAAAAUUUUAUUGUGCAUUGCUUUGUUCGGUUGCAGAAUUAUAUGAUGAUGGGAGUGUAUGCUUUAUGGAGUAAUAAGGAUGGAAAAAUUUGGGCUUAACCAUGCUCCAACAUCUAUGAAUCCUGUCCUUAAAACUAACGUGCAUAAAAUGUUUGAUUAAUUGUCUAUAAGAGACUGUUAAGCUCAAAACGAGCAAUUUAAAGGAAGUAAUAAGUAAGAAUUCCUUAUACAUGAUUUAUGAAAUAAUUCAAGUGAAGUGGGUAAGAUAAAUUGAGUCUAAAAACUAAUAUGAAGCAAAAAUUAAGAAUCUAGCCUAGUUGAGAAUCUGACCGACAGGCCAUUUUUAAGGCUGUGUAAAAUGGGUUUGUAAAGUCUAUUUUGGUUGGGUAAUAUGUUUUAAAAAUAUUAUGCCAUGUCAAGUAGAACAUAUUAAAAAUUGGUUACGUUUGGACUUACGGUUUAGAAGUUAUUAAUUUUAAAAGUAGGCAGUUUGUCUAUGGUGCUGAAAUGGGCAGCAGCAGCUGCUGUGCGCUGCGUUGUGCUGCUGCUAAUGUUCAGGCUGAGUUGUUUUGGCUUCUGUUAAAUCCACUUAGAAUGCCUGAAUUCACUAAGUUAUAAUUUGUAAAAAUACUAUGAUAUACCCUUUAUAACAUUCUAAAUUUUGGUUUCCAUUGGACUUGUGGGUUGCGAACUAGAAAAUGGAAAAGGUGACCAGAGAGCAUGGUUUGAUUGCUGCAAUAGUUCACCUGCUAUGGCUGUUUCGGUUGAUUUGUUGUGCUCUAUUUGGGACUGUUUUGAAAACAAUGCACACCUAGUGUUUGACAAAAGUCCUAUAUGGACUGUUUUACUUAAAAACCAAGAAUUUGGGAAAGCCAAAGUUAAGAUUGCAUGUAUGAACAUCUUAUACAGUUAGUUAAAAGUUUUGAAGGAAUCAAACUAGAACGAAAAACGAUUUAAAGCUAAAACGAGAAAUCAAAACUUAGUGUGUCGGGCUACUUUUGGGCUAACUGUUUCGGCUAGUUAGACUUUCUAGAAAAUUAUAAUUUUCUGGGGUCUUGUAGUGUGUCGUCCCAGCUAUUCGUAGCCUCCGGAAUGGACUAAUUCCGACUUUGGAGGAGGGAGUUAUGGCAUUCUAAAGUGGCUGUGGCGAAUCUGUCCAAAAUCUGGAAAUCAGAUUCUGACCAGCCCCUUGCGCAGAUUUUCUGGAAUUAUGGGUGCAGAAUUUGGAAAAGGUUAUUGUCUGGAAUUAUGGGUGCAGAAUUUGGAAAAGGUUAUUGAAUAAGAGUUGUAGCCCUGGAAGUUAGCUUCGUGUGGGCGCUAGAAUCACUCAAAAAUAUUUUAAAACGAAUUAGUUAUGACUAUUUUAGCGAGAGAGGGUAAAGCUGAGAAAAAAUUAAAAACAGUCAUGAUUGGGCAUAUUUAAGUUCUGUCUUGGGCUGCCUAUGAUGUCUAAAAUGGGUGGCUUAUAUUUUCUAAAUAUAUUCUCUUAUGGUGUUUAUAGCAUAUCCAAAAUUGGGGGAAAACUAACUUAAGAAUUAAAAACUACAAAAUCGCAAAGUGGCCUCGUCGCGAAGAGGGCAGCAGCAAAGCACUGCAGUGGCAGUGGUUGAAGGCUCCUUUGAGCUCUCAGUUGACGCAUUUAAAUUUGAAUCAAAAUGUUAGUUAGUUUUUUUUCCAAAAUGGGUGGGUAUACAACCUAUAUUUUAUUCAAAACCCAUUGGUUGGCAUAAAUAAGUUAUGCAUUAAUAUAAGAUAUACAAAUAGCAUAUGUUUAUCUACAAGCUAAGAGAACAAGACAUGAUUUUUCAUUACAGGCAAGGCGUAUAUACAAAAGCAUAUAUACACUGAAAUGGGGAAAAGCAAUGUUAUGUGAGUAUUAUUCGUGCAAAACGAAGUCCAAGUUACUCGCGAAAAUGAAAUUAAGCUAUGAAUGCAUGCAUAAAGAAAAACACAAGUGCACUAUAUGAUUAUAAAUUUACAUAUAGAUAAAUAUUAAGCCUGUAAAUGGAAGGUAAUGGCAUUCUAAAAACUAUAUUGGAACCUGUUGAGCGAAAUAUGAUUAUAUAUUAAGCUGAAACUUAAAGUAUUUGAAAAAGAAUAUGGAAGUUUCCUGGAAAUGAGAAUAUAAGUUACUGAUAUAACGUAUAUGAAUGUUUAAUAUCUAUACAGGAGUAUAUGGCUAAUGUAUGCUUAUAACAUAAUUGUGUAGGAUUCGUGAAGUGAAGUUAAACUAGCUAAAGUUUGUAUCAAUGGUCAUUGAACGAGGCAAGUUUUUCAGUUCUGUUAUGUUUGUGGAUGGAAUGUGGUUAUAUGCUAAAUUAUAUAUCAUGCUCUAUAAAUUGUUAAAGUCAAAAUAUGACUAAGUUAAUUGGGUUAUGGAACUCAAUUUAUAUGUGAUUUGUGAUAACACAUGUUGUAUGAUGUAACUCGAUAAAUUAGAAAUGUAUAAUGCAUGAAUGUAUGCUUUGUAAGGAAUUAUUGAUGCAUGUAGGAUAUGCAUAGUAAAGAAUAUAUGUUGCAUGCGGAUAUGUAUAUUAAAGGAAAUGUAGUGCAUAUGGAAUUGUGUGUUAUGUGAAACAUGAUAGACUGUUAAAUUUGCUGGGCUGUCGAGCUCAAUCUUGCAAACACAAACUUUUUGCAGGUUAAUGACGUUAUGCAAUAUUAUUUGUUAUGCGGAUGAUGAAGGAUGAAGGAUGAAUGAUGGACGAAAUGAAUACAUUUCUUUGAAUUAGAAAUGGUAUAAAGCUAUGAUUGAUAGUUGCUAAAUAUAAUUGGCAGUUAUGUAUAGUUUGAAAUGUUGAAUAGAUAAAGAAUGUUUAUUCUGAAAUAAGAAUAAAUAUGAUUCUGAAAUAAGUGAAUCAUUGAUAGAAAAGAUAUUAAGUAUUGAGACUUAUUUUUUUAAUACGUUUAUUUAGAUUAUAUAAAUCAUAUAAUAAAUAUGAUUUUUGUAUAAAAAAGAAUUGUAAAGGUUGCGAUUCAGGGAACGAUGAACGAC